GAUGAACGCUAGCUACAGGCUUAACACAUGCAAGUCGAGGGGAAACGGCAUUGAGUGCUUGCACUCUUUGGACGUCGACCGGCGCACGGGUGAGUAACGCGUAUCCAACCUUCCCAUGACUAAGGGAUAACCUGCCGAAAGGCAGACUAAUACCUUAUGGUCUUCACUGACGGCAUCAGAUGUGAAGUAAAGAUUUAUCGGUUAUGGAUGGGGAUGCGUCUGAUUAGUUAGUUGGCGGGGUAACGGCCCACCAAGGCAACGAUCAGUAGGGGUUCUGAGAGGAAGGUCCCCCACAUUGGAACUGAGACACGGUCCAAACUCCUACGGGAGGCAGCAGUGAGGAAUAUUGGUCAAUGGGCGAGAGCCUGAACCAGCCAAGUAGCGUGCAGGACGACGGCCCUAUGGGUUGUAAACUGCUUUUGUAUGGGGAUAAAGUCAAUCACGUGUGAUUGUUUGCAGGUACCAUACGAAUAAGGACCGGCUAAUUCCGUGCCAGCAGCCGCGGUAAUACGGAAGGUCCGGGCGUUAUCCGGAUUUAUUGGGUUUAAAGGGAGCGUAGGCUGGAGAUUAAGUGUGUUGUGAAAUGUAGACGCUCAACGUCUGACUUGCAGCGCAUACUGGUUUCCUUGAGUACGCACAACGUUGGCGGAAUUCGUCGUGUAGCGGUGAAAUGCUUAGAUAUGACGAAGAACUCCGAUUGCGAAGGCAGCUGACGGGAGCGCAACUGACGCUGAAGCUCGAAGGUGCGGGUAUCGAACAGG
rnacentral:rRNA from 1 species